GUUACAAAUUCUAAUUUCGAAAACCUAACACUACGUUCUCUGCUCAGGCGGCCUCCGGAACAGGAAGAAGAUACAUUCCUUGUCAGAAAUCAAAACGAUAAACAGAGAGCGAUCGGCAUGCAAUCGGGGGAAACAACGCCAAUCCCCAAACCGUCCUUCUUCGUCAUCCCGUUUCAAAGACAGCUCCAAUUUCCUAGCCCCCAAAUGGAACCUCCAGAGUCCUAAUUUCGAACUCCCUUUACCGCAAACUCUUCACUGCCUUCAAAUGACCUAAAUCCUCUUCCACCGUCAAGGCGCCUUAAAGCAUUCGACCUCGAAUGGUCAAAGUCGGCGCGGAAUGCUAGGAUCGACAAAGAGAGGUUCCUCACCAUUUGCCUCAAUUUCGUGAGUCAAAUCCCGGUCUCAUGCUGCCCCGACCCGUCGAAAAUGAAAGGCGACGGGCCGUCUAAGAGGCGGACGUGAGGAAUAGGGGUGCGGAGGAGUGGUUCGACAUGGUGUGCUGCGGCGUCGUUAAAGAGGAUUGUAGUGAGGUUUCAGGUCCUCACAACCGCAGGCAUCCUGUAUUUUCGAUGCGAUGAGUCAAUCGACAAAGGAGAAAUGGCUUGGUGGAACAAAAGAAUUGAUAUUUGACCAGGUACUCCUCAAUGUUCAAUGCACAUCAACUAUAGGAGGUCACAGUAUGCAAUAAAGAUGACCUGUUGAUCUUUAAAAUCAUUCUAGACCCCUUUACUUGGUAUUUGCUAUGGUAUAAUACUUGUACUUGAGGUAUCAGGGCACUAUUUUUGAUAUUAAUGGUAUAUAUUGUUAAGAUUAGGAGCACUAGGAUCUUCUUAAUUCAAUAUCAAUCUCACGCACGCACUCUCUCGAUAUCAAACGCAAACAACAGAAUUGAAAAACAGUAUAUAAAACAGUAAGAGAAUAAGGGAAAGAGAACCAAUUCACAAAAGAGAGCAAUUUCAGGCUGUGUAAACAGCCCUACAUCCAGCUGCAGUCCGAAAGCAAUUUCACUAGAAUUCCAAUCUUGAAUCAGUACACAAGAAACCUGCUCCACUCUCUAUCACAUGAGUACACUGCCUUCACCGAUAUUACAAAGAACUUCUUCUAAUCAAUCCUUUCCUCUCACAGCAAUUCUCUCGUAUUCAGAAAGUAAAAUGAAUGAUCAUGAUAACAGUCUGCCUAUUCAUCUAUUUAUAGAGAGUUGAAAUUACAAGGGUAUUUUAAAACCAACACAAGGUCUAUUUUACCCUUACAUAACCGACUUAAUUAGAACUAACCUAACUAACUCAUUUCUGGUUAUGUCAUCAAUCUAGCUAACUGGUUUCUUCUGAUUCUUUCUGAUCUUCUAGAAUAUACUCAAUGCAAAACUUCAACAUAUAUGUUUGUUAUUUUUAAUAGGUGAUGGAAUGGAAUGAGUAUCUAGCAAAAGAGGUAGAAGACUAAGAAAAACUUGGGCAGAAGGCAAUUAGGGAUGGCUAUUAGUUAUAUCUUAUAAGAACUUUACAGAAGAUAAGGUUAUAGAUAGAAAUGGUUGAAGAGCUAGAAUUCAUGUAGUUGACCCCUCAUAGUGAGAUAAUGGAUGCUGCUGUACAGUGAAUAGGUGAACAAGAAAUAAACAUCAGUUAGAAAUUAGGAACUUUUAACUUAGUAGAAAUAUUUAUAAUAAAUAAAUUUUGGACUAAAGGAUGUAAGAAUAUUAAGUUAUAGACAAAAACAAUACUUAAUAAAAUAAUAUAUCAUUUUCUUACAGUAGCAUCCAAAGUUUAACAAAAUAGUAUAAUUCAAAUUGAAAUGUACGCUAUAUAGAUUUUUAUCAAAAUAACAUAAUUUAGACUAAAAUGCACAUAAUAUAGAUUUUGAUAUUAUGGGAUAUAUAUGCACUUUAUUUUUCUAUACAAAAUGAUAAUAAAAUGUACAUAAGUGUAUGUAAAAACUAAAAUUUCCAUCAAAAAGAAAAAAAAAAACUAAAAUGUUAUGUAAUAAAUUAUAUUAUAUAUAGAGAGAUUGUAGUACCCAGGGUUUUUAAUCAAUUUUUGGGUUUAUAUAAAUUAAUUUUAGAAGAUUAUUUCUGGAGGAAAAAUCAUAAAAUGGGGCCCAAACUCUUUUAUUAUUACUUAAGGAGGAUGUUUUUUGUAAAUUUAAUGGGGCAUUGAUGGAAAAUUCCAAUUAAUUCUGGGGUAUUGGUGUAAUUUUUUCCAAGUUUUAAAGAUACAAAUGGAAUUUUAAUUCACAUGGGCCCCAGUGUAAAUUCCCAAAUGAGGAUGCUGUGAUAUAAGGGCAAAAAGGAAAAUAACUAGACUGAAGGGGCCACAUUGCAACUUUUAGAAAUUUGGAAAUUUGCAGUGUGGCAGUUCACCGCCACACUGCUCUGGUGCCCCUAUGGCAAGCCUGUGGUGGGAUUUUGUGUGUAAAUAGGGGUCUAUGGUUCAAGGGUUGAGGCAAAAAUCAAUCCAGAUUUAAAUUGAUUCCAAGUGUUUGAAUGAGAAAUUUAAAGAGAGAAGAAGAGGGUGAGAAAGAGGGGGUCCAGUUGAGUGAAAUUGUGAGAAAAACAGAGGGAUUUGAUAGAUUUUUGAGGAGCUGGAGUUCAACUAGUCUGGAAGAACUCAGAUGGUUGCGACAACUAUCGUGGAGGAAAGAACAAGAUAAAGAGGAAAAGUAGUGGAAGGAGAAGAGGAGAGGAAGAAGAGAAAAAAAAAAAAAGAGAAGCAGCCGCAGCAGUAACCAGCUGGAAGCAGAAGCCCCAGGAGAAGUCCCAUGGUGCGUGGGGUGGGAUAAACUUGAAAUAAAAAAAAUAAAGAAAAGGAGGGAGAAAAAGAGGAAAAAGUAUCAGAAAAAUUGGGAAAAUUUUCCAGAAUUAUAGGAUAAAUGUUUUGGAAGAGAAAUCAUGUGCUUGGAAAGCAUGGUGGAUUUUCCAUUAAGGGCUGGCAUGUGGAUUGAGAAAUGUGGGUUUAAAUAUCGAUUAACAGUCAAUGUGAGUGGUUCUCCCAAAACCCUAUUUAAUAAAUUUGCAUUAUUACUGCCACAAUUAAACUGUACGGCUGAUACAUCAAAUUGCCUGUUUUAUUUCAAUAGGCGUGUCAUUAUUGCUUUAAAUGACAUUUAAAUAUAAAAUUUCAGUUUAGCUACUAAAUUGCUAAAAAAACUGUCACAAAAGUCAAUUUCUAAAAUACCUUCGCACUUCAGAAAAUUAACACAAAAUUUUGGUUUGUCUAAAUUUUCAGAUUUUAUCCAGGGCAAUUUCAAUUUACUCUCACAAAAUCGUUGUCCGAACUACCUCAAACAUAGUAAAAACCUUCUCAUUUUCCAUCUCUCUAUGUGUCAUGUGUUUGGUGGUCUCAAUAUUGUCUUGUGGCCUUCUCUUAUUUUUGCCACAAUUGUCCUUGUUGAAACUUUAUUAAUUAUUUAAGAGUCACGUUGGUAUUUCAGUUUCAUAUUGUACUGAAUAACUUACUGUUGGUUGAAUUUUGUCAUGUGUUCGUUACAUAAAUCUCUGAAAGCGUUUUUGGAGUUGCACACACUCUUUGGAUUUUUUUCCCUACGGUUCCCUUUUCUGUUGGCCGUUUCUCUACCUGGAUGGUGACAGUGUCAUGAAUUGCUUUUAAAUUAGCAAACCCUGUUUCUUAUUGUUUAUUAUUUAUCCUCUUUUGAAAAAGACCUGCUUGCCUUUGCUUACAUCAUAUUUAUAAAGAGUUUCGUACAUGUUAAGUGGUUAUUAUAAGCUUUAUUUUAAUGACACUUGAGAUGUUCUAAGUCGGGCAUGAGUUCCUUUCUUUGCUUUUUUUUUUUGUUUCCCCUAUGAGGUUAAUGGAGGCACGAGUCUAUCAAUUAGGGCCUUUUAGAGACUGGCAUAAAUAUCAAGGGGGAAAGAUGACUAGUUUUUGGAAUUAACAAUUAAGAUACUUGCAAGGAAGAUGCAAAAUAUCAUAACUACAAUUGGAUUAUGCAUCCACCUUUCUUUCCACAAACAAAGAAAGCCGGGCCCCCCGGGGGGGUUGGUGGGGGAGAAGCAACGGGGAGGGGAGGGAGCAAGGGUGAGAUGCCAGUUAGCUUUACCACUUAGUUAUAUGUUUACGAAACUUGCCAAUCUUAAAAUUGCAUGCUUAGUUGGGUAAAGUUUCCAAGGUGACUCAGAGGAGCAAAAAUAAAUUGAGCCAUAUCAGCAUUCUUGUGGUCUGUCAUUUUCGUGUGCGGUUCUAACCAUAGUUACCAGCUGUGCCUCCCUUACUUGGGAACCAGGUUCUAGUUUGUGCACAUUGGAAUGUGGUGUGUUGGCGCCCUCUUGCAAUCUUGCAACAGAACGAGGAAGCCUUUACACAAAAUCAGAGUUAGCCCUCUCAGAAUGCCCCACACUCGCACUCCCCACAAAUCAAGGUUUUUUGGGCACCCUGGGCUUUCUUGGAUUGCGGUUGUCUUGCUCCCAAUAGGUUUCAACCUCUGCUCUGUCACCGGUGAUGGGGGUGAUAUGGGGUUUCCAUUUUUGCUAUCGCCACUGCUCUCUAAAUCCCUAAAUGGCUCAAGUCAAUCUUUCCAUGAAUAACAUCGCAGCAUGAACAUAGAGGGAGCGAGGGAGGGGAAAAUUUAGAAUAUAUAUUAACUUCUGUAUAAACACUAUGGGCAGAUUUGUUCUGUUGCCCGCGUCGGCAUGCAGGGGACUAUUUGGGGGAGGGGGUGGGGCCCAGGCCCAUGUCCGAUGCUGGCAACAUAAGAUUCUCGACACUAAGUAUGAAUUAUGAAGGUUAAAUAUAUAACCUUUGUUUCAACUCACAAUUGUUUAUGAGUCCGUGAGUCUUGGUUCAUGUGCAGCAAAAAGUACCAUCAAUUGACGUCACAAACGAAGAAGCCUACUCCUCCAGGACCAUGUUUUGGGCAAACUGGCACAAAGACGUCCCCGCACUGCAUUCGACAAACCAGAUAACUAUGGCCCUAACCAUUUGGUUUAACGUUCUCCUACAUUUAUAAUGUCCGGGAAGGCUGUUUAACUUCUUGUCGGUCUUUUAUUUCUUUUUCGACAGAUGGUUACUAGACAUUCAGAAAAAUGUUGUGAGAAACCUGUGUCGCAGCUUUGCAGUUCAUUGAAACAGAAGACUGCAUAUGUUGUUGAGGACCUUACCAAAAAGGUUGGCAAUGCCAGCACUCAGAAGAUUAAACUACAAUUAUGGGAUGGAUAAAGAAGCCCAAUCCGUUGGGAGAUGGAGAAUCGUGGGUGUCACUAGUCGUGGAAUUCCCGUGGCAAUUGCAUCUCUUCUGAAGUUGUUUAUAAUCUUUGCAGCGUAUCAUUGGCGGGAUUCUCGCCUGUGAAUGUUUGCUUUCAUGUGUAUCUAAGCAGGAAGUAAAGCUUCGAUGGAAAUGUGGUAACGCUAUCAGCUACACAGUAUGAGCUCAAGCCUGGAGUUGAUCUCUCUUCUUGGUCGGGUCCAUGUUCCCAGUUUAGGAAAUUUAAGAUCGAUGUUAGUACAUCUUGAAACUAUGGUAUCACUACUAAAUUUUCAACUUUUUCAACAACAAUAUUUUGAUACUACUGGCGCACCCG